AAGCCAGCAGCAUGGAGGAGAGGAACGGAGACCACUGUGUUCAUAUGGCCAGGUAGCAAGUAAAAAGGACAGACUGGAUGUUUAAUAUUGUUCUGUUUCUAGAACCUCUUUGGGAUCUGGAGAGAGCAGCUUCCAGGGGAAAAAUGUGCAUAGAUCUGGAAACCUCAGUCCCUCCUAGCCCAUGCUGCAUUCUGGCAUGAAGAAUGGGGAUGCUUUCCAAGAAUUUGGGGAAGAAGCUCCUCUGGGGCCUGGAAGAGCCCUCACCGCUCCUCUCAGCUCAAGGUGCUCAACAAAGAAACCCUGCCUUGGUCCUACACAGAGUGAAUCACAAACCUGGAAGUUCAUUUCAGGGCUGCUCUCAUUAUUAAUCAGGUAGGUCUUAAUCCACUGCCUGUGUGAGGGUUUUGUUUGUUUGAUGUUGGUGAGGCUUUCUGAGAUAACACCCAGAUACUGUUAUAAUCUGUAUAGGUUAGAAUGUCCAUAGCUGCCUUUCACCAGCCAACCUUGUAAACUGGGAAAGUGAGACAUGUUAAAUAAUGCAAGUUUG
rnacentral:lncRNA from 1 species